rnacentral:rRNA from 1 species
AUGGUAGGAUAGAGGCUUACCAUGGUUUUAACGGGUAACGGGGAAUUAGGGUUCGAUUCCGGAGAGGGAGCCUGAGAAACGGCUACCACAUCCAAGGAAGGCAGCAGGCGCGCAAAUUACCCAAUCCCGACACGGGGAGGUAGUGACAAUAAAUAACAAUAUGGGGCUCUUACGAGUCUUGUAAUUGGAAUGAGUACAAUUUAAAUCUCUUAACGAGGAACAAUUGGAGGGCAAGUCUGGUGCCAGCAGCCGCGGUAAUUCCAGCUCCAAUAGCGUAUAUUAAAGUUGUUGCAGUUAAAAAGCUCGUAGUUGAAUUUCGGGAUUUAUCCGUCGGUCGGGCUUUUGGGUCUGUACUGGCGUGAUGGAUUCCUACCUUCUGAAUAACUGGCAUGUCAUUAAUUUGGUGCGCCGGGGAAGCAGGACUGUUACCUUGAAAAAAUUAGAGUGCUUAGAGCAGGCUUAUGCCUGAAUACAUUAGCAUGGAAUAAUGAAAUAGGACGGCAUGGUUCUAUUUUGUUGGUUUCUAGGAUCACCGUAAUGAUUAAUAGGGAUAGUUGGGGGCAUUAGUAUUCAAUUGUCAGAGGUGAAAUUCUUGGAUUUAUUGAAGACUAACUUCUGCGAAAGCAUUUGCCAAGGAUGUUUUCAUUAAUCAAGAACGAAAGUUAGGGGAUCGAAGACGAUCAGAUACCGUCGUAGUCUUAACCAUAAACUAUGCCGACUAGGGAUCGGACGAUGUUAAUUUUUUAAUGACUCGUUCGGCGCCUUACGGGAAACCAAAGUGUUUGGG